UGGGGAAUCUUGGACAAUGGGGGCAACCCUGAUCCAGCCAUGCCGCGUGAGUGAUGAAGGCCUUAGGGUCGUAAAGCUCUUUCGCCUGUGAAGAUAAUGACGGUACCUAGUAAAGAAGUCCCGGCUAACUCCGUGCCAGCAGCCGCGGUAAUACGGAGGGGACUAGCGUUGUUCGGAAUUACUGGGCGUAAAGAGUUCGUAGGCGGACUAGCAAGUUAGAGGUGAAAUCCCAGGGCUCAACCUUGGAACUGCCUUUAAAACUGCUAGUCUAGAGACCGGAAGAGGUUAGGGGAAUACCUAGUGUAGAGGUGAAAUUCGUAGAUAUUUGGAGGAACACCAGUGGCGAAGGCGGCUCACUGGCUCGAUACUGACGCUGAGGUGCGAAAGUGUGGGGAGCAAACAGGAUUAGAUACCCUGGUAGUCCACGCCGUAAACGAUGAGUGCUAGAUGUUGGGAUUUUCGGAUUUCAGUGUCGCAGCUAACGCAUUAAGCACUCCGCC
rnacentral:rRNA from 1 species